CAGUCGCCACGGUAAAACGAAGGGUGCAAGCGUUAAUCGGAAUUACUGGGCGUAAAGCGCGCGUAGGUGGUUUGGUAAGAUGGAUGUGAAAUCCCCGGGCUCAACCUGGGAACUGCAUCCAAAACUGGCAAGCUAGAGUAUGGUAGAGGGUGGUGGAAUUUCCUGUGUAGCGGUGAAAUGCGUAGAUAUAGGAAGGAACACCAGUGGCGAAGGCGACCACCUGGACUGAUACUGACACUGAGGUGCGAAAGCGUGGGGAGCAAACAGGAUUAGAUACCCGAGUAGUCCCUGUCUCUUAUAA
rnacentral:rRNA from 1 species